rnacentral:lncRNA from 1 species
GGCCGUACUCCCUUUGCUCGAGUUACUCACUGGACGGAUUCCACUCCGUUCUUCGUUGCAGAACUACGUUCCUUUCCUCUUUUCAGAACUCAAAACAAAAGUGAGUUAUUCCUAUCUCUUAAAGAGAGCCGCUUAUCGAAUAAAUAAUCAAUAAAUCAUCAACUAUUUCACCGGGGAUGAUAUUCUAUUAAGUUCUAUCACAUCGGAU